GACUUUUGUACUUCUUGGCGUAAAAAAAAAUUUUCGUUCAAUAUUUUCCGGACUUGAAAAUUAAGAUCCCUGAAGCUGCACUGGUCGGCAAUUCUAGUAUGGACGCCAACUGGAGCACCCAGUCAACAAAUAACAUCACAGAGGACAGCCGCUCUAGAACACUGUCGAGAGAUAUCUGCAUUGACAAAUGGCAGCACAAUCUUGCUGUGUAACGACGAGGAGGGCACGUGUCAAGAUAAAGUGGAUAACUGGUUUGAAAGGAUAUGGAGUGAUGCAUCCAGUGAAUAAAAGCCUCCCAGCAUACACGCAGACCAAAGGGGACCGCAUUUGAAGCCACUUGACGGAAAAAUAUAAUUUCAUGAAUUUGGGUCGCCCAUGUAUAUGUAUAUGUUAUCGUUUUAAUAACAUAUGUUAAGGCCAUAUUGACUUGAACAACUUGAGUAUAAUUAUGAAUUUGUUUUUGUUACGCUGAUUGCAUAUAUAUUACGUAUAUUCAGGACUAGUGAAAUAUUUCAUACUCUCUGCUCACUUGAAAUAAAUUAUCUGUUUAUCUAGGUCAUUUCCCUAUAUUUGUAUAAAAUGACAUUUAAUUCAUAGCACUGCCUAAUAUUUAUAACCCUAUAUUCUGAAGUUUAACAAAAACACUGAAAACAUAGGGUCAUCAAAAUGACUACCUCAGGGUCAUCAAAUGAGUAAACCUAAAACGAGGACCCAGGUAGUCAUAAUCUGUAUUUGAUGGCCUGGCAGGGCCAU